AGCGAACGCUGGCGGCAGGCCUAACACAUGCAAGUCGAACGGCAGCACGGGGCAACCUGGUGGCGAGUGGCGAACGGGUGAGUAAUGCAUCGGAACGUACCUUUCAGUGGGGGAUAACGUAGCGAAAGUUACGCUAAUACCGCAUAUUCUGUGAGCAGGAAAGCAGGGGAUCGCAAGACCUUGCGCUGAUUGAGCGGCCGAUGUCAGAUUAGCUAGUUGGUGAGGUAAAGGCUCACCAAGGCGACGAUCUGUAGCGGGUCUGAGAGGAUGAUCCGCCACACUGGAACUGAGACACGUUCCAGACUCAUACGGGAGGCAGCAGUGGGGAAUUUUGGACAAUGGGGGCAACCCUGAUCCAGCCAUGCCGCGUGAGUGAAGAAGGCCUUCGGGUUGUAAAGCUCUUUCGGCCGGGAAGAAAUCGCACGGGCUAAUACCCUGUGUGGAUGACGGUACCGGAAUAAGAAGCACCGGCUAACUACGUGCCAGCAGCCGCAGUAACAC
rnacentral:rRNA from 1 species